rnacentral:lncRNA from 1 species
UGUAUUAGGUGCUGGCUAAACUAUUAUAUCCAAUUUGGUAUAUUUUUAAUAUAGCUAUACAUAGUUUAUGUCAAUGUUAAUGGGUGCUUGAGCACCUAAAUCUAACAUGUACAUCCGCCUCUGGUUAGGAGUGGUGGUAAAGUUAUAUUGGGUAUAUAGCUAAAAUAUUAGAUUUUAGAGUUGUAUAAUAUAUAUUAAA